rnacentral:rRNA from 1 species
UACGUAGGGCGCAAGCGUUGUCCGGAAUUAUUGGGCGUAAAGAGCUCGUAGGCGGCCUGUUACGUCUGCUGUGAAAUCCCGGGGCUUAACCCCGGGCGUGCAGUGGAUACGGGCAGGCUGGAGGCAGGCAGGGGAGAACGGAAUUCCCGGUGUAGCGGUGAAAUGCGCAGAUAGUCGGGAGGAACACCGGUGGCGAAGGCGGUUCUCUGGGCCUGUACUGACGCUGAGGAGCGAAAGCGUGGGGAGCGAACAGG